CAAAAUAUAGUUUAAUAAAAAUUCUAAUUUUGGGAAUUAGUGAUGCCAUUACUGGCUAUUUUGA
rnacentral:tRNA from 1 species